rnacentral:lncRNA from 1 species
UUAANUUCGAGAUGAGACAACAAAAUCUACCUCUGAUUCUAACCAGGUUUAUCUUGAUGGAUGGUUGAAAGAUAUCCGAGCUGAGAAAACAAAAUCCACCCCUGACUCCAAACAAGUUUAUCUUGAUGGAUGGUUGAAAAAUACCCGAAACUAGUUCAUGUCUUUGUUAAUCAAUAUCUAUGUCAUUUUGAAAACUUUUCAUGUGCUCAUAUGUUUUUAAUCUUCGUGCUACGUAAAACCUUAUUUCUAUGUAUUAAGUAAGAUCUCGUUUGUGUACUAAAUAAGUUAUUGUUUCUAUGAACUAGUUGUUUGUGUUUUAAAAUAAACUUUAAUUUAAUCUGAUAAAGAUUGAGUUGAUCUCUCUUUAAUUUUUAUAACUUUAGUAGUUGUUUGUAUAACCUCUAAGAAAUGUGCAAUUAUGUUUUGUUAAUUCAAUUAAUUCAAUGUGUUUAUUCUUAAAAUGAAUCGGGGAAUAGAGGUUAAUGAGAGAGAUCAAAUUCUCAAUCAUUUGAGAUGAGAAGAUAUCACAAUUCUUAAAAUCUUAGAGUAUAAUUAUUCUAAUAUUAUCAUGUGUGAUUAGUGUGUUAUUAUCUUUAUAUUAAUUAUGUUAGUAUUAAU